GCGAAAGAGGCCAUUUUGGCCCAGAUCCACCGCGGAGCGCCUUCAGCCCCCACUUCUCCCGAGCGCCGCCCCUGUUUCUCCCCGCGCGCUGCCGCCCUGUUUCUCCCCCCACCUCCGGCGCCGCCCCCCUUUUCUCCCCCCGCCGCCCCUCUCCUCGCGCCGCCAUCUCCUCGCGCCGCCGCCCAUCCUCCACCCACCGGCUGCCUCGCCGUCACCCCCCGGCGCUGCCGCCCCUCCCUGUCCUCUAGGAGCACAGAUCCUCCCCGCCCCCUUCCCGAGCAUGAGGAGCCCCCAGCUAGCCCUCCCAUCGGCGCCGCCGCCCCUCCCUGUCCGCUAGGGUUGAGGUCGCACGGCCAUCUCUCCGCCGGCAGGGCCGGCUCCUCCGGCGGCAAGGUGCUCCGGCGUGAAGGUGCUCAGAGGUGCCCCUGCUGAUCUCCUCAUGCAACAACAAGAAGCAACCAGAUGUGCAGUGUAUAUGCAUCAACAAGGAGGCACCUGAACAAUAUUUAUUCAAAGCCAGACGCGAAAUAAAAAAAUGAUGCUCAAGUUAACCUCUUGCUAGGAUUUAAUAAUAUUGUUUUUUCUUGCUAAACUUUAUUUUCGUUCUUUUGUUAGGUUGAUGUACUAAAUAAUUAAAACAUAUGUGAGUUGAUUGUUGUACAGUUUUUGCAUCUGUUGUAUGGAGCUGGGACUUACUUAGUAAGAUUUGUUAUGUAAUUAUAAGGUCUGAUUCUGUAACACCAAUAAACUUCCUAGAAAUUUGCGUCUGCUCACUGAAUCUAUGAUACUAAAUUGUAUGCUGUUGUAUUUCAUAUAUAUGUUAUACAUACAUGUGCAGACUUUACUAGACACAUAUCAUGAGUAGAUAAGUUCAGUCUCCAUUUGUUUCUUUAAGAAGAUGUGCAGUAUGCUGUUGUAUCUCAGUUCUCAUAUACUGUAAUAUAUAUUAACAGAAAGAAUCAUGUUGUAUGCUUCAGAUUUAUACUGAAAGUGUGUCCCUAUUUUGAUGCAAUUCUUCUUUUUUACAUACUAGGAAACGUUCUGUAGCAAAAAACACGCUCACUGAGCAUGUCGUUAUGGAUUACGUAAUGAAGCGUAGAAAAUGAAGAGGAUAAUCAAGUCGAGAGCCACCGGCGAUGAUGUGUAGUUGCUGGAUGAGCUUCUCAUCCACGCCUUGGCUGCAAACCGUGUCUGCAGGUGCAGUGUUCUCAGUCAGGACAAGCAAGCCCAGUGACUCCCACUACGGCUCAUGGCGCUUCGACCUCCUUGCAACAAUGAUCACUCGAGGUUUGCAUCGUGGAUGCCGUUGACGGUGGGCAUACAUGCUACGGUGGAGCACAUUGCAUGUUUGAGGUUCAUGCUUGGUGUGAACUUGGAACUCAUGCUUUUGUUUGUGAACCUUGUUGGAUAUGUACCUGUGUGGACUUUGGACUCAUGGUCAAUUUGUAUGGUUGUCAAGUUGUACUAAAUUGUUGUUGUGAACCUUCGUUGGUUAUAUAUUACUUGUUGGAUCUA